rnacentral:rRNA from 1 species
GAUGAAUGCUGGCGGCGUGCCUAACACAUGCAAGUCGAGCGGCAGCGAGGGGUGCUUGCACCCUGUCGGCGAGCGGCGAACGGCUGAGUAACGCGUAGGAAUUUGCCCCAAAGUGAGGAAUAACUGCCCGAAAGGGUAGCUAAUGCCGCAUAUGGUCUUCGGAUUAAAGGAUUUAUCCGCUUUGGGAGAAGCCUGCGUUGGAUUAGGUUGUUGGUAGGGUAAUGGCCUACCAAGCCGACGAUCCAUAGCUGGUCUGAGAGGAUGAUCAGCCAGACUGGAACUGAGACACGGUCCAGACUCCUACGGGAGGCAGCAGUGAGGAAUCUUCCACAAUGGGCGAAAGGCUGAUGGAGCAACGCCGCGUGAAGGAUGAAGGCCUUCGGGUUGUAAACUUCUUUUAUGAGUGAAGAAUAUGACGGUAACUCAUGAAUAAGCACCGGCUAACUACGUG